CCUAGUGGGUAGUGACACAGCGCGGUGCGUUCCUGCAGGCAGGCUCAGGCCCCUGUGUACUCGGCUUGACCCAGGCAAGCUCCUGCACUUGCGGCUGAAGAACAAGGGCUCAGGAAUUCCAAACACAAAGACCCCUUCCUAAUCCCUCGACACAUAAGGCUGCCAAUUUAGUAUCAAGAGAAGACAGGAAGAACUUUUAAGGAAGAAGUAACACUGGAGUCAACAACAACAACAACAGCAAAACAACCUCUGGCAAUUUCUUAUCCAGUGUCUGACUGACCUCUUUUACAUCGAAGGAAAGUAUUGUCAAACCACCAAUCCCCCAGAGCUACACUGUCUUGGAGAUGCUAAAUUGCAAAGAGAAAACAUCUCAGCAUUAAGGAGGAAGAGAGCUCUGGCUGUGGAAUGAUUAGAGGGUGCAGCAUCCUUUGGCAAAAUGCUGCAAUAUAUCCUUAGGCUUAUAUGCUAUUGUCCUGAUUCUAAGAUUUUCCUUCUCAGGUAUUCAGACCUCUAAACUCUGUCUCCUUCUCCCCAACCCUAUUUACAAGUUGACAUGUACCAAAAAGAGUAAAUGAAUGACAACAGUUUACAUUGCUACUCAUUCUCAAAGACAUUUUCAUUUUGACAUGAAAUAGAGAUGUGAUUUAAACUACAGUAGAAUUUAAGUGUAGAAUCAGGAAGGGGUGGGGGGAAAUUAGAGGUGCAGAUGAUUAUAUAGUCCAGUAACCUAGGAUUAAUUGCCUCUGCAUGUCUGUCUUUGGGAGAGACUUAAUCUCUCUAAACCUUAGUUUUCUCACUUGUAUUAUGGGAUCAUAAUUGUUCCUAUCUCAUAAAAGGCUUCCAAAGAAAAACUAGAGCUGCAUAGUAAUUAAAGUGGUAAAAGCAGAUUUUAAUUAGGAACUAUUACAGUAGGGGAAAAUGUGUCUAGUUUAGUAUAGCACUAGGUUCAAUUCUGAAUACAGCAAGCACAGGUGAAGAUUUAUAGACAAAGAGCAGGGUGGGAGUCAACAGAUAAACAAUCACUAAGAGGAAACAUCAGGGGAUAAGCCAAAAAUAAAAUUCUAAGCCCCUCAACCAAUUGAAUGGAACCCUCUCUUGACCAAAGGCGUUCCAAAGUAAACCUGAGAAAUGAGUUCAGGCUGUGAUAGGAAGGGAGGAUCAGACAUACCUCAUUUUUACACCCUCCUCCCUUUGUAAUCCAGACACAACUUAUCAGCAUUAACAUUAAAACAGAGCUCUGUGUAACAAUAAGAUACCAAAUUCUAAUCUGA